AAAUAUAUUCCACUGGGUUUUGUUAAACUGCUCGUAGAUCAAAUGUCUUUUGCUCUUCAGACUUGCUGAGACGUCUUUGAAGCUGGUCUAGUAAGCUCAAAUACAUU